AGAUGCUCAUCCUGCUUCUUGUGAUAGCUUUCAGCUUCAUAAACUAUUGGAUGACGCAGAGCCAAUUUGAUGUGCCUAUUGUCCACGUUAUCGAUGCAUAAUAUCCAUCACCAACCGGACGCAACGUUGAGUGAGGCACAAUCCG
rnacentral:misc_RNA from 1 species